UACGUAGGGGGCAAGCAUUGUCCGGAUUUAUUGGGCGUAAAGAGCGUGUAGGCGGCCAGAUAGGUCCGUUGUGAAAACUCGAGGCUCAACCUCGAGACGCCGAUGGAAACCAUUUGGCUAGAGUCCGGAAGAGGAGAGUGGAAUUCCUGGUGUAGCGGUGAAAUGCGCAGAUAUCAGGAAGAACACCCGUGGCUAAGGCGGCUCUCUAGUACGGUACUGACGCUGAGACGCGAAAGCGUGGGGAGCGAACAGG
rnacentral:rRNA from 1 species